AUGGCUCGUGGCGAUCAUCAAAACGAUGAUGAUGAUUUCAUGGAUCCACCACAGCGUAAUUGGGCAACUGGACGGAUAAAAGAGGGUGAUGAGAAGAAGAAACGUAUUCGCAACAGAGCCUCCCAAGAACGUCUGACUGCGUUGACUGACAAAAUCACCGACAAUCAGAAGGGGGUUGCUGCUGAGAUGGGUAUGCAGUCUAUGAUAGAUGUCCAGUGCACGAAUCUUGUCAACCCUGUAUGCGACUGGCUUGCUGAGAUCUAUGAGCCCGCCUCCAGGGAGUUCGUGAUUCCGGGACGUGGAAGACUUCCGUUGAACGAGGAAUCCGUGUUCUGCACUCUGGGCGUGCCUCGUGGACAUAUCAAAGUCCCGUACGAGGUCAACAAUGAGAUCGAGGAAGCGCUGUUCCCCCGUUUGUUUCCUGGUUCGGAAUCCAUGCCGAACACGUCUGCAGUGGCAGAUUCGCUGUAG
rnacentral:rRNA from 1 species